GCCUCUACUCUCUUCACUCUGCUCUUGUCCGAGUGUUUUUUAAGCCACCAGCCUUCCAGCAAAGGGAUUACCUAACUCCGAACCUUGAACCAAAUGUGCAGGAAAGAAGUUUACUCAGCAACAGUAAUGGAAACGGGAUCCGAAAACCUAAGCAAAGAUUCUGACCAGUGAGAUAUGCCCCUUGUCACCAUGGUUACACAGCAAGCAGCAUCAACGGGAAGGAGGGACCGACCUCAGACAUCUGCUAUCUAGGCCUGCCUGCCAUCUAUGCUUAAACAUUACCAGGAUCCAAAAGUUUUGUAUUCGGAGCAAUUAGGAUGUUGUGCUGGCUAAUCUUAUGUCAACUUGACACCAGCUGGAGUCAUCUGAGAGGGGGAACCCCAACUGAGAAAAUGUGGUAGAUCAGGCUGUAGACAAGCCUGUAGAGCAUUUUCUGAAUUAGUGAUUGAUGUGGGAAGACCCAGCCCACUGUGGGUG
rnacentral:lncRNA from 1 species